rnacentral:lncRNA from 1 species
AGUUUUAUUAAUAAAUGAAUAAAGAUAAUUUGGAAUGUAUAAAUAACUAAAUAUUAUUAACUUCUUAAGAGCAGAAAAUUUUGUUAUAUCCCCAAUAAGGAUACAUUUUAAAGACUUUGUUUAUGUGCAAGAAGCCAGGCACAAAAAGACAAAUACCAUAUAAUUCCACUUAUGCAAGAUACCUAAAGUAAUUAAACUCCUAGAAACAGAAAGUAAACUAAACUGUGUCAGGGGCUAAGUGGAGAAGAAAAUGAGUAGUUGUUGUUUCACAGACAACCUGUUAGAACACAAAAUAACCUGUUAGAACACAAAAUAGCUCUGUCGCCCAAGCUGGAGUGCAGUGGCCGAUCUCGGCUCACUACAAGCUUCACCUCCCAGGUUCACGCCAUUCUCCUGCCUCAGCCUCCCUAGUAGCUGGGACUACAAGCGCCCGAUAACUCUUAUUUUUUAAAACUUUAUUUUAAGAUCUGGGUAUAUGUGCAGGAUUGUUAUAUAGGUAAACUUGUGUCAAUGAGGGUUUUUUGUACAGAUUAUUUUGUCAUCAAGGUAUUAAGCCUGGUACACAUUAAAUAUUGAAUUACACAAUGCAUCCUUUCAUACCACAUGAAAUAAAACUAGACAGCAACAGCAGAAGCAAAAUUGCCACAUCCAAAAAUUUGUGAGACUUAACAGACUCUUCAACAUACUAUUCAUUGUGUCAGAAGAUUUAAUAUUUUUAAAUAACAAUACUACCCACAGUGAUAUUCAAAUUCAUUGUAAUCCUGGUAAAAAUCCAAAUGAUACUUGAUACUUUUUUUUUUUUUAAGAUGAAGUCUUGCUCUGUCGCCCAGGCUAAAGGGCAGUGGCGCAAUCUCAGCUCACUGCAACCUCCACCUCCUGGGUUCAAGAAAUUCCCUGUGCCUCAGCCUCCAAAGUAGCUGGGAUUACAGGCGCCCACCACCACACUCGGCUAAUUUUGUAUUUUUAGUAGAGACAGGGUUUCACCAUUUGGCCAGGCUGGUCUUGAACUCCUCACCUUGUGAUCCACCUGCCUCGGCCUCCCAAACUGCUGGGAUUACAGGCGAGAGUCACUGCGCCCAGUGCCAAAUGAUACUUUUUAAAGAAAUCUUUUUUAAAAUUCUUACAUUUACAUGGAAUAUCAAAGGACCACUGAUAGCCCGAACAUUCUUAGGAAACAAGAACAAAGAGGCACAACGCUUCCUUUGUUUAGAACAGAUUACAAAGCUACAUAAAUAAAAACACUGUGGUACUUGAAAGAAGACAACUAGUGAUGGAACAGAACCCAGAACUUAAAACCAAACCAUGUUUGUAUAUAUGCUCAAAUGAUCUUCAACAAGGUUGCUAUGACCGCACAACAAGAAAAACACAGUCUCUUCAAUAAAUGGUAUUGGAAAACUCUGUAUCCACAUGGGAAAAACUGAGAUUGGGUCCUUCCUCUGAACCAUAUAAAAAAAACUGUCUUGAAUGAGUUAAAUAUUUAAAUGUCAGAAUUAUACCUAUAUAAUCUCUAAAAGAAGAUACAGUAAGAUUAUGACCUUGGUCUCAGCAAUUUUUUUUUUUUUUGAGACAGUCUUGCUCUGUCACCCAGGCUGGAGUGCAGUGGUGCGAUCUCAGUUCACUGCAACCUCUGCCUCCUGGGUUCAUGUGAUUCUCAUGCCUCAGCCUCCCAAGUAGCUGGGAUUAUAGGUACAGGCCAGCAGGCUAGAGUGCAGUGGUGUAAUCUCAACUCACUGCAAGCUCUGCCUCCUGGGUUCACACCAUUCUCCUGCCUCAGCCUCCUGAGCAGCUGGUACUACAGGUGCCCGCCACCACGCCCAGCUAAUUUUGUUUCUGUAUUUUUAGUAGAGACGAGGUUUCACCAGCCAGGAUGGUCUCAAUCUCCUGACCUCAUGAUCCGCCCGCCUCGGCCUCCCAAAGUGCUAGGAAUUACAGGAGUGAGCCACCAUGCCUGGCCCAUGAUUCCACUUUUAUACAAUAUUUUAAGUAGUAAACUAGGAAAUAGAAGUAGAAAGAUGUUUGCCUAUGGUAAGAGCUGUGAAACCUCAGUGGAGCCAGAGAUCAAGGAGGGUUAUUUAGAAAAAGGAGGUCCUCACCCAGGUGGCCAACUCAAAGGCACAUAGACUUGGCUACAGACAAGGAAACAGUGCAGAGUUUGGCCUUACUGAAGAUUAUGAAGCAGUUCUGCAACCUUUCUCAAACUCCUAUCAGCUACAGUCCACAAGUGGUCCUUCCCAUCAAGAGAUCUGCAGGGAAACAGCCAGCCAUAAUCCUGGAGGCAGGCCUGUGUAUCCUGGCCUCAGCUGUGCUCCCUGAAGCAGCCCUGUGACUCAGUUCUAACCCUCACAGCCACAAUCCAUGGCCAGCUGUACACACUCAGGGACCCACAUAGAGACUUUGAAAACUGUUCCCAGGUAGUCAGCAGAAGCCAAACCCAUUCAUACACCUUGUAUUUGACCCAUCAUAUGCAGACAAACUUUAAACCCUAACCUACUGCCUGCCAUAUAGAUUAAUGUCCUCAAGGAUAUUUAAUCUUUCCAUGGCCCAGAAAGAAUCCAUGAGUGUCGAAAUCUCUGGUAACACAAUCAUCAAAGGCAGACCCCACAGCACCCUUGUGAGCCAGCUACUACAACCCUUCUUCUCUGCAACCGCAGAGGUAAUCUCAGCCUGUGGACCAAACAAAUGGGAGAUCUUUGUCAGGCCUCUGAGCCCAAGCUAAGCCAUCAUAUCCCCUGUGACCUGCAUGUAUACAUCCAGAUGGCCUGAAGCAACUGAAGAUCCACAAAAGAAGUGAAAAUAGCCUUAACUGAUGACAUUCCAUCAUUGUGAUUUGUUCCUGCCCCCACCCUAACUGAUAUAUUCUCCCCCAACCCUUAAGAAGGUACUUUGUAAUAUUCUCCCCCACCCCGCCCUUAAGACGGUACUUUGUAUGCCUAUCCCAAACCUGUAAGAACUAAUGAUAAUCCCACCACCCUUUGCUGACUCCUUUUUUGGCCUCAGCCCAUCUGCACCCAGGUGAAAUAAACAGCCUUGUUGCUCACACAAGCCUGUUGGUGGACUCUCUUCAUAUGGACACGCCUGACAUUUGGUGCCAAGGACCCAGGUCAGAGGGACUCCUUUGGGAGACCAGUCCCCUGUUCUCGCCCUCACUCUGUGAGGAGAUCCAUCUAUAACCUCAGGUCCUCAGACCAACCAGCCCAAGGAACAUCUCAUCAAUUUCAAAUCAGGUAAGCAGUCUUCACUCUUCUCUAGCCUCUCUCACUACACUUCAAUCUUCCUCUCUCGCUACCCUUCAAUCUCCCUGUCCUUCCAAUUCCAGUUCUUUUUCCUCUCUAGUAGAGACAAAGGAGACAUAUUUUAUCUGUGGACCCAAAACUCUGGCGCC